rnacentral:rRNA from 1 species
UACGACUACAUAUCAGGCAUAUCAAUAAGCGGAGGAAAAGAAACUAACUAGGAUUCCCUUAGUAACGGCGAGUGAAGCGGGAAGAGCUCAAAUUUGAAAUCUUCAAGGUUUUACCUUGACGAAUUGUAGUUUAAAGAAGUGUUUUCUGUUGGAUGUUUUGGUAAAAGUUCUUUGGAAUAGGACAUCAUAGAGGGUGAGAAUCCCGUAUUUGACCAUUAUUUCCAGCUUUGUGAUACACUUUCAAAGUGUCGGAUUGUUUGGGAAUGCAGUCCAAAAUGGGUGGUAAAUUUCAUCUAAAGCUAAAUAUUGGCGAGAGACCGAUAGCGAACAAGUACCGUGAGGGAAAGAUGAAAAGAACUUUGAAAAGAGAGUUAAACAGUACGUGAAAUUGUCAAAAGGGAAGCGUUUGACACCAGUGUUGUUUCUACGAAAAUCAAUUUAUGAUGGCUUGAUGCUAAGCUUUAAGACUUUAUCCGCUUGUUGUUUAGUUUUCUUGUCUUUGUGAAUGCACUUUUCGUGAACAAGUCAACAUCAAUUUCUUUUGCUGUAAAAGGGUAAGAGGAAGGUGGCUUCGGCUUCGGUUGAAGUGUUUAUAGCCUUUUAUCUCUGCAGUCGGAGAGAUUGAGGUCUGCAGCGUAGACUCUUCGGGGUUAGAUACGUCGGUGCUAAGCUAUAGCUUUUCAUAGACAACUUGUUGACUAUGUUUAGUCAUGUGGCUUACCCGCUGGCGCUAUUUUACCUACGCUUAGGAUGUUGACACACGCGCGUGCUCG